rnacentral:rRNA from 1 species
CAGUCGCCGCGGUAAUACGUAGGUGGCAAGCGUUGUCCGGAAUUAUUGGGCGUAAAGGGUGCGUAGGCGGGUCUUUAAGUCAGGGGUGAAAUCCUGGAGCUCAACUCCAGAACUGCCUUUGAUACUGAAGAUCUUGAGUUCGGGAGAGGUGAGUGGAACUGCGAGUGUAGAGGUGAAAUUCGUAGAUAUUCGCAAGAACACCAGUGGCGAAGGCGGCUCACUGGCCCGAUACUGACGCUGAGGCACGAAAGCGUGGGGAGCAAACAGGAUUAGAUACCCGCGUAGUCCCUGUCUCUUAUAC